rnacentral:lncRNA from 1 species
AGCUACAGAUUACAAUGGAACACACCAAAGGGUAUAGGUUGCCAUCAGCCUGACUGUGCCAAGGUAUUUCUCUUUUUUGGGAGCACAAAUAUUCAGUAAAUACAAUGGGCUCCAUUAACCUCGCAUCUCCUGAUUAUGCCUAGCAGAAUGGUCAUAGAUGUUGAAUGUCAAUAUACAGAUAUUUUGACCAUAGAAGCUCAAUCAUCACACAACAGCCAGAGGAUUAUAUUUAUGCAAGAGAGAUAUGUGCAUCAUCAACUGAAAAUGUUGCAGGGUGAAAACAAAGGUCAAGUGUAUUACACAGCC